rfam:Camelus ferus unplaced genomic scaffold scaffold226, whole genome shotgun sequence.
GAAUGUAUAAGCUCAGUGGUAGAGUGAGUGCUUAACAUGCAAGAGGUCCUGGGUUCAAUCCCCAGUACCUCCU